rnacentral:lncRNA from 1 species
UCAUAUUUUCUUUAAGUCAUCUUCAACAUACUUCUGAAGUGGAUAGCAUUCACCAAUCCAAAAAUUCAGUUUGCCACUUGUAUCUUCAUCUGCAUUAUUUUCAUUAUCCUCAACCUCUUUCAAUUUUUCUUCAAGUUUGGUAGUCACAGUCUUCAUCCUAGCUAUCUAUUCUCCAUGACUUGAAGGAAACUCAGGAUCAACGUAUUCAGAAAAUGAACAUUGAAAUUGCAAAAAAGGUUCUAAAUAUCAACAAAAUCAUCACAAUGCCAAGUAAAAACCUAUACUAUACACACUAAAGGUACCUGCUUUUUGGAGCAUCGCAAGAACCUUCGGCCCGGUUUUGCACCGUCCACAAAGUCUUCAACUAAACUCGGAAUCCACAUUUACAGACUCUCCAUGGAGUGCCGACAUUCCGAGUACAUUUUGAAGAAACAUAGGAAGCAAAGGUUGCAGCCAUGGUUGUAACUCUAAUUCAAAAAAGAUGGAUGAAUGAAUUUGUGAAGUUUAAACCUAAUUUCAAUCUAUAAAUAAGAAACUUACAAAACAACAUUGUUUUAAUUGUAUAAGUAACAAUAUCGUUUUAUUCGACGUCUGUCAUGUCCAUGUCAUUUCUCAGGCAACUUAAAAAUUGUCAUGCCAACUUGUAAUUUGAGUGAGGGCAUUGUUGAUCUUUAGUAUUUUUUGGAGUUAUAGGUUAGAAAUUGAUCGGGGACGACAAUUAUGACCUGUAAUCUAUAAUUUUAGUCGUCCGGAAGGGGGCUAAAGCUAGGUGUGAGACUGCCCUAGAUAAUUAGGUUCAUCCAAGAGUUAGUUAAUAUAGAUUGAAGUUCAUUAUGAUCCAUCAAAAUCUAGUUUCUAGGAUAACUUUUUUUCGAGUUAUUCCCCAAUUUAUUAACUAAGAUUAUUUUGUUUGCUUGCUUUAUUAGUUUUGUUCCAAUUAAUCAACAACUCUUGAACUUUGGUUGUCUAAAUAGGUUGAAAACAAAUUAUUAAUUAUAUUUAAAAGUUUGAAUUAACUAAUCCUUAUGGAUACAACCUUACUUCCACUUAUUGCAACUACACCGUGCACUUGCAGCGUAGUGAAAAUAAAAUACCGAACAUUUAGAUUUUAUAUGAGCCUUGACUAAUUCCCUAAUAUUCAAGCACUCAUUUUAGCCCAAAAUAGAAAUAGGUCAUGUUACGUGGGACAACCCAAAAAAAUAGUUUUUUUUAUAAAAUGGAUUAUGUAUAUAAAACAGAGAUAAUAAUUGAAAAAAUAGAUUAUGUCUAUAAAACAAAAAUAAUAAAGCAAAAUUGUAAAUUAGGUUAUUCUAUAAAAUAGAUUGUGUUUAUAAGAAUAUUAUUAUCAUUAAAUAGUUAUAGAAAAGAAAUUAUUAAUUUUGCCAAAUUAAAAUUGGAGGAUCUGCAUAGAAUUAUUUCGUAAAAAUUGAAAACUUAUUUAUUUGGCCAAAUUCGAAGUUUAGAAAAUUUAGUACGUUUUAGAAUAUUGAAUAAAUAAAAACUAAAAUAUAUAAUUUAAAAAUGCAUAGAAUAAGAAUAUGAGUUAAUACAUGAAAGUAGCCACUUUUUUUAGUAAACUUAAAAUUUAUCCACUCAAAUAAAAACUAAAAAAAAUACUCACUUUUUGUGUUAAAUGACUAAACUGCCCCUAAGAUUAAAAUUAAAAAAUUACCCACCCCUAAUCUCUCUACACUUUCUCGGUCUCUCUCUCUCUCUCUCUCUCUCUUCUUCCUCCCCCACCCGCUCUCUCUAAUCUUUCUCUGUCGCCGCCCCUUCUUCUCCAAGAAUCGCUGGCAGCCGUACCUCCUCGCAGCCUCUCCUCCUCACCGUUUCUCUCCCUCACGUGUUCUCCUACAGCGGACGGCCUAGGAGGAGCCGCCGCUGUUGUUCUUCUUCCGGCCGUGUCCAGCGGAGCCUGGCCUUCGGCCGCACCGCCCCGUCCUUCACCCACGCCGCCGCCUCAGUGUCGCCCUGCCCCGAGUCUGCCAGGGACGAAGCCAGGAAUUCUAUCGAGGGGGGGGGGUGGCGAACUUUCUCAACAUCAAAAUUAUAAAAACUCUAUAUAUGUUUUGUAUUAAUGCAUCAAUAAUUAUUCUCCACUAAAAAAAAAUAUCCAAAGAAAAUCUACGUUGUUACCUUGUAAUAUGUAAUUCGAACAAUCCAAUCCAUUAUCAAAAUCCAAUGUACAUAGUAAAAUGUCAAUCUGCAUCGCCGCCUCACUCCGGCUCCAAUCGGAAAUCAAUUUCCAUACAGCCAGAAGAGCUACGAAUUUGAAUCAUUGCAUCGCAAUUGAAUCAUUUUAUGAUGAAUUUUAUAUGCAAUGCUAAUUUAUGGUGAAUUUGCG